rnacentral:rRNA from 1 species
UACGUAGGGUGCGAGCGUUACUCGGAAUUACUGGGCGUAAAGCGUGCGCAGGCGGUCUGUUAUGUCUGAUGUGAAAGCCCCGGGCUCAACCUGGGAAUGGCAUUGGAAACUGGCAGGCUCGAGUUUGGCAGAGGGGGGUGGAAUUCCGCGUGUAGCAGUGAAAUGCGUAGAGAUGUGGAGGAAUACCGAUGGCGAAGGCAGCCCCCUGGGAUAACACUGACGCUCAUGCACGAAAGCGUGGGGAGCAAACAGG